rnacentral:rRNA from 1 species
UACAGAGGGGGCAAGCGUUAUUCGGAAUUAUUGGGCGUAAAGGGCGCGUAGGCGGUUCUUCAAGUCUCUCGUGAAAUCCCUCGGCUUAACUGAGGACGUGCGGGAGAUACUGAAGGGCUUGAGUCCGGAAGAGGGUGGUGGAAUUCCCAGUGUAGCGGUGAAAUGCGUAGAUAUCAGGAGGAACACCGGUGGCGAAGGCGGGUCUCUGGGCCGAAACUGACGCUGAGGAGCGAAAGCGUGGGGAGCAAACAGG